AUGCGGAUCAUCUCAACGACAGAAUCGUUGAGCCUCUCUCCGACUGUGUCGUUGAGAAUAAAACCCUUUGGUGGUUUCUCAGUCAACACUGUCGUUGAAAAUAAAACAAUAAUUAAACAUGCUCUCCACAAUUAGGAAAGCAUAAACUGUUCACCCAAAAAAAAGGGAAGAUCUGAUUUUUACCAGUAAUAAGACUACAGCAUACUAAAUGACACAAGAUGUUCUUUCUCUAUUACCUCUUACAUUUGACAUAAAAGCAGGAAAAGGUUUAACAGUCUAUGCCUACAACAUAGAUUAUGAUAGAUCUCCAGGACUAAAAGUGCAAAAAAUUGCAAUCAGUAUAUCACAAGUAUUAUAACACACGCAUCUAAUCUGCUUCAGUGGCGAGAACUGGGUGAAUCCUCUCAAACAUUAAUCAGGAACUAGGCAUACCUAAUGAGUGUCAAGCUGAUACAGUAGAUGUACAGAAGAAUUUUAACACAAGGAAGUGAAAAGUGAUGUAAAAGGCAACUAAUACUUCCAUCUACCAUAGUUAAACAAGAAUCUGCAAAUGGUGAUAAUUGCAAUAAUCUUGAUAUGUUAAUGUUUGGCUUUAUAAUUAUAUGCC